rnacentral:rRNA from 1 species
UACAGAGGGUGCAAGCGUUAAUCGGAAUUACUGGGCGUAAAGCGUGCGUAGACGGUAGCGUAAGUCGGGUGUGAAAGCCCCGGGCUCAACCUGGGAAUGGCAUUCGAGACUGCUCUGCUAGGGUGCGGAAGAGGGGAGCGGAAUUUCCGGUGUAGCGGUGAAAUGCGUAGAUAUCGGAAGGAACACCAGUGGCGAAAGCGGCUCCCUGGUCCAGCACCGACGUUCAGGCACGAAAGCGUGGGGAGCAAGCAGG